rnacentral:rRNA from 1 species
AGCUAAUAGAUACCCUGGUAGUCCUGGCCCUAAACGAUGUCUACUAGAUCGUGGCGGCACUGACGCCGUCAUGGUCGAAGCAAAAGUGUUAAGUAGACCGCCUGGGAAGUACGGUCGCAAGGCUAAAACUCAAAGAAAUUGACGGGGGCUCACACAAGCGGUGGAGCAUGUGGUUCAAUUCGAAGCAACGCGAAGAACCUUACCUGGGCUUGACAUGCUAGGAUUAUCUUGAUGAAAGUCGAGUAGGCCCCGCAAGGGGUACAACUAGUACAGGUGCUGCAUGGCUGUCGUCAGCUCGUGUCGUGAGAUGUCGGGUUAAGUCCCUUAACGAGCGAAACCUUUGCCCUUAGUUGCCAUCGGGUUAUGCCGGGCACUCUAAGGGGACUGCCGGUGUCAAACCGGAGGAAGGUGGAGAUGACGUCAAGUCCUCAUGGCCUUUAUGCCCAGGGCUACACACGUGCUACAAUGGCGUCCACAAAGCGAGCCGAGAGCGCAAGCUGGAGGAAAUCGCAGAAACUGACGCCCCAGUUC